rnacentral:rRNA from 1 species
GCUUGCUAUAAUUGUCAGCUAAGUGGCGCACGGUGUGAGUAAUAUAUAGAUAACCUGCCCUCAAGAAAGGAAUAACAGUUGGAAACGACUGCUAAUGCCCUAUAUGCCUUUAAUACAUAAGUAUGCAAGGGAAACGCUUUAGUGCUUGAGGAUGGGUCUGUAUGGUAUCAGCUUGUUGGUGAGGUAAUGGCUCACCAAGGCUAUGACGCCUAACUGGUUUGAGAGGAUGAUCAGUCACACUGGAACUGAGACACGGUCCAGACUCCUACGGGAGGCAGCAGUGGGGAAUAUUGCACAAUGGACGAAAGUCUGAUGCAGCAACGCCGCGUGGAGGAUGACACAUUUCGGUGCGUAAACUCCUUUUAUAUAGGAAGAUAAUGACGGUACUAUAUGAAUAAGCACCGGCUAACUCCGUGCCAGCAGCCGCGGUAAUACGGAGGGUGCAAGCGUUACUCGGAAUCACUGGGCGUAAAGAGCGUGUAGGCGGAUAUAUAAGUCAGAAGUGAAAUCCAAUAGCUUAACUAUUGAACUGCUUUUGAAACUGUAUAUCUAGAAUGUGGGAGAGGUAGAUGGAAUUUCUGGUGUAGGGGUAAAAUCCGUAGAGAUCAGAAGGAAUACCGAUUGCGAAGGCGAUCUACUGGAACAUUAUUGACGCUGAGACGCGAAAGCGUGGGGAGCAAAACAGGAUUAGAUACCCUGGUAGUCCACGCCCUAAACGAUGCACACUAUUUGUUGGUGAGGCUCGACCUUUGCGUAAUGCAGUUAACACAUUAAGUGUGCCGCCUGGGGAAUACGGUCGCCAGAUUAAAACCUCAACGGAUUAAACGGGGAACCC